CAAUCACAGACACUAUUCCUGUGCCAGUAGUUCUGGGAUUGAGACAACUGGGGCUCCUGCAGGGCUUGGAGAUCAUUUGUGCCAGGAUAAAGUGUUUAAGGCCAGACCAUUUAAUUGAGAUAGGAUAAAAUGAGAAGGGGAGCCAAGAUGAGACCCAGAGUGGCAUACGGGGCAAAGUCAGUAACUUUGUAUAUUUAACCUACGUGUGUGUUUGAGAGUUCCUUGUGGAAAGGCACAAAUUGAAAAAGACCUUAAGAGGGGGGUGUGUGAUCUUGGCCAUCACUACUGCAGGGACUAGCUUCUCUCUCACCUCUUGCUUCAGUCUUACCCAGCUAAAUAUUUGCAGUUCAUAACUAUGUCCUGCCUCUGUCUGGACACUUCCUAUGGUUUUCCUGCAUGGGAGCACAGUCUUAAUUUGUGAUGGCCUAGAUGCACACCUCAAGGCAAGGAUUUUUAGUGCAAGUAGACCAUUUAGAUGACACUGUGAGAUGCUGGUAAGAGAUGAGCGAAGUGCAUUGGUAAGACAUAGGGAAAUAAAGGCAGUCAAGCAAGUUAUCUCUAUGGGAAACUGGCUUAAUCCCUCUGGAGAACUCUGGGAAAUAGUGUAGAACAGUGAGGAACUGGCCUUUGAGUUAUCCUACCUGAGCGACAAGAUUCCACCAACUUCCAGCUGUCAUUGGCUGAGGCUGCUCUUAGGAGGAGUUAAUUCUCAGGCACUCUGGCCUGCCACUUGAGCAGGCAGAGUUUAUACCACACUUGGAGGAAGCCCUUGGCCUCAGAGUUGCAGUUGCUGGCAUUUGGCAGUAGGAACUUGGAGGCUGGGCCUGCAGGGACAUGUUAGGGAGAUAUGGGAGGGGAACUGAUAGCAUGUUCUGUGAGUACCUUUAGAAUUCAAGUCAGGUAUCACCUACUUUGGGAAGCACUCCAUGGCCCCUCAUUUGUUUCUCCCCUCGUGAGUUGAGUGUCUCUCAGCUUUGCUCCCACCCACCCACACGUCACUGUAUUUAACUGUCUGCAUCUCUCCUGCUAAACUCUGAGCCCACUGGAGACAUGGACCUGGUCUUCCAUCACCGUAGCUCUGUGGUACCUAGAAGAAGAAAUGACCCAGAGAGAAUCUGGCACAUGUCAUCCAUCUCCCGUAGCUGCUGAGUGACAUGGAAUAUACAUAAAGCAUCAUCAAAAAGAACAGGAGAAGAGGAAAAGGGAAAAACAGCACCCAGCAAACUUGGAGCCUCAUGCUUUUAAAAGCUUAUUUGAAACCCAUUCAUCCUUCUAGCCAGCCAGCCAUCCAACCAAUAAAAGCACACUUGUUGAAGUAUUUAGUUUGUCCAAGUACCUAGGAGAGGUCCUGUGGGGAUGCAGCCAUGAAUCUGGUAUAACACUAUUGUGGAGGCUGAGUAUCAACUUCCUGGGCUCUUGACUAUUUGAUUUAU